UACACGGGCUUGCCAUUUGGUAAGUUAAAUGCACCUGUGAUAGGUUUUCCGGGUGUUGGCCAAAACUCAGGCAACAACGGGAAAAAAACAUUUCAGCUGAAAUGUGCCCGGGGUUAGUUCAGGGGAAUCCUUUUUGUCUACAAAGCGAGUAAGGAGAUGUAACGUGACCGUUUCAUGCAACCCUUACACAUUUUGAAUAUACCCCAUACAUAAUAUGUCCCACUUGUCAUGUUAAAUGUUAGCUUCAUUGCAUUUAACGACUAUCCUAUCUGACAAUAAUUCUCAUUUACUUCGCGUGACUACAAAAGUAUAUAUUUUCCUAAAUCAAACGAGAGUGGACGAUCAAUAGCCGACAGAGUACGAAAAGGCUUGUGGCUCGUCCGCAGUCUCGUUACUAGUUAGCCACGAUUCGAUCCAGCUCUUAGUAAGCUCUCAGCGCUUAGCACGCUCGCAGCUUCUUAACAAGCUCCCAGCUUCUAACAAUCUCCCAGCUCUUAGUGAGCUGUCAGCGCUUAGCACGCUCCCAGCUUUUAACAAGCUCCCAGCCCUUAGUGAGCUCUCAGCGCUUAGGACGCUCCGCUUAGGACGCUCAAGCUCACAGCCAGCUCAAUGCUCUUAGCCAGCUCCCACUAACCAAUCACUUUCCUCACAGCAAAUUUGAAUUGUGCAGAGCACAGUCACCAACCCGACGUCUGCCGAACCAACAGCUACCCGAUUACACCGAGGUGGCCAUAAUCCAAUUAGUGCAAGGCAAGCCACAUACACGAAAACUUCCGAACCGACAGCUAAUCGAUUUCCUCGACCUGACGGCCACCCGAUUACCAGAUCCGACCGUAAUUCGAGUAGUGAAGAACCGAUCCGAUUGCCACAGGGCCAAGUCACAUAUCCGACUACUGCCGAAUCGACAGCCAUCGAAGGGUACAGAGCCGAACCGUACGUCCACCACUGUAAACUGCCGCCUUCUUCAAAAAACCCUUUAGACUAGAGUCCACAACAGGCCUAUUCUGGCUUAAGUGUAUACCCAACAAUGUUGUGUAUUUUAAUAUCAUUGAUUGUUAUUUAGUCUUUUUCAAGUGCUAAGCUAUUUUAAUGGAAUAUUGAAGCGGUGUUGUCGCUGUCUUCUUUUACAUUAAUAUGUCUGUUUCUUGUAUACGUUUAUUAUUGUUGAUGUGUCUCUUAUGAUUCAUUUCAAGACAAGAUGGCAAAAUCUUUUGGCUUGGUCAUGUAGUGUUAACCUUGAUAUUUAACCUUGAUGCUGUUACCAUUAUGUUAUUAGUUUAUUUCCUUUUCUUAGAAAUAACCAUUUUGUGUCUUCUAUAUUUUGAACUUUAUCUUAUGAUGAUGAACAAUGAACCACCUUGCCACGUGCUAGCACAUCAGCCUGGAAAAUAUAUAGUUUAAGAGAAAUUAAUAAAAAGAAUAAGAAGUGUUUGAUGGAGACGGUCGUGUUCAUAGCUGCGUCGUAAAUAAAUAAAGAUUUAUUCUCCUUACGAGAGAAGCAAUAUCCUCAAGGCUGUGAACAUAUUCAAGAGACAAAACAAAACACAACUUUUUCUGCGAUUACUUGGUUUUGAAUCCGAUGUUUCUUUCUACGUAAACGAAGACUUAACCAAUAAAAACUACAAAAUUUUGCAACCUGUAAUUUCACUAAAAAAGAAAAAUAUGUUGUCGACUGCAUUCAUAAUACGCGGGCUUGUAUAUGUGAAAAGUGUUGAUAGGGAGAUCACAAUACGAAUUGAGUCUAUGGAGAAGUUGUUUACUUCCAAAGUCGAACUUUUCAGUAUGAUUCGAAUUUUUGCUAAACAAAAGGCAGGAUUCAAGUUGGUACAUAUAAAUGCCCAAAGUCUUAACAAUAAACUUGAUGAAUUUCGCCACAUUUAUGAUUUGUCAGGUGUUGACAUAAUCUGCGUCUACGAAUCGUGGUUCCAAUGUGACGUUCAAGAUGGAAUUUAUAAUCUACCUGGUUACACACUUUUUCGUGCAUUGCCAUUCGCAGGAGGCGCAUGGCAACAAAAUACCUAUUUCUGGAGGUUGUAUUAGUCUGCUCCCAAAAAAUGCUUGUUGGAGGCGAAUAACAACAAACAUAUGACCGUUUUACUGAAUGAACUAUCAUAGCUGGUGACUUUAACUACAAUCUACUUAU